rnacentral:rRNA from 1 species
UAAAGAUUCAUCGCUGAUAGAUAGGCAUGCGUUCCAUUAGGCAGUUGGCGGGGUAACGGCCCACCAAACCGACGAUGGAUAGGGGUUCUGAGAGGAAGGUCCCCCACAUUGGUACUGAGACACGGACCAAACUCCUACGGGAGGCAGCAGUGAGGAAUAUUGGUCAAUGGGCGUAAGCCUGAACCAGCCAAGUCGCGUGAGGGAUGAAGGUUCUAUGGAUCGUAAACCUCUUUUAUAAGGGAAUAAAGUGCGGGACGUGUCCCGUUUUGUAUGUACCUUAUGAAUAAGGAUCGGCUAACUCCGUGCCAGCAGCCGCGGUAAUACGGAGGAUCCGAGCGUUAUCCGGAUUUAUUGGGUUUAAAGGGUGCGUAGGCGGCCUUUUAAGUCAGCGGUGAAGGUCUGUGGCUCAACCAUAGAAUUGCCGUUGAAACUGGGAGGCUUGAGUAUGUUUGAGGCAGGCGGAAUGCGUGGUGUAGCGGUGAAAUGCUUAGAUAUCACGCAGAACCCCGAUUGCGAAGGCAGCCUGCCAAGCCAUGACUGACGCUGAUGCACGAAAGCGUGGGGAUCAAACAGGAUUAGAUACCCUGGUAGUCCACGCAGUAAACGAUGAUCACUAGCUGUUUGCGAUACAGUGUAA